GUGCCAGCAGCCGCGGUAAUACGAAGGGGGCUAGCGUUGUUCGGAAUCACUGGGCGUAAAGGGCGCGUAGGCGGCGCGACAAGUCAGGCGUGAAAGCCCCGGGCUCAACCCGGGAAUUGCGCUUGAUACUGUCGUGCUUGAGGCCGGGAGAGGAUGGCGGAAUUCCCAGUGUAGAGGUGAAAUUCGUAGAUAUUGGGAAGAACACCGGUGGCGAAGGCGGCCAUCUGGACCGGUUCUGACGCUGAGGCGCGAAAGCGUGGGGAGCAAACAGGAUUAGAUACCCUGGUAGUCC
rnacentral:rRNA from 1 species